AACGCUAAGUCCUCAAUCUCUUCGACGCUAGGUAAACUCUAGAGGCCCAUUUUGAUGAAGCAAUUUAAUUGUGAUUGGUGUAAAUGUUAGACUUCUAGAAGAAUAAACUAAGUGAAGUAUUCGUUGAUGGCGGGUACAAAAAUAUUAGCUUAUAAACUAUUCACAAAGAUUCUUGAAAGGGCUUUUUAUCAAGCAUCUCGAAAAUCUUUGUACUUUCACAUCAACUGUAUAUAAUUGUAACUCUUACAUUUCCGUAAAAUGCAAAAUCACGCUUUCCAAUUUCCU